rnacentral:lncRNA from 1 species
ACUGGGGUACACUUUGUAUUAGUCAACCACCGAUUGUCACUGACUCAUUCAGAGAUGAUAAGCAUCCAGCAAAGCUCCUCUGUAGUGUUGCGUUCUUUGAUGGCAAGCUGUACGGGCUGGGGGGGGGGUUUGACCAACUAUUCAUCUUUGAAUUAGACAAGGACCUUGGUAUUUCAUCCAUGGAGUGUAUAAUUGACUAUGGGUGAGUUAGGUGGAAUACCUCAAUCGUUGUCGGAAGAGAAGGCGUAUAUGAUAAGGGGGUAUCUAGUUGAAUGUGGCGAUAGACUGUUGAUGGUGAAACGGUGGAUUCAUCCUAUUGCCCGUUCAACAAGUGAUGACUUUUUCGAGCAUAACCGUACUGUUGCACUUGGGGCUUUUGAGGCAGAUUUGGGCACCGAUCCAGCUGGAUGGAGAACAGUAAAUGAUUUGGAUGGCCAUGCGCUCUUUCUUGGCCAGCAUAGCUCCAAGUCCCUGCGCGCUGGAGAAUGCAGUGGAUACCAAGAGGACUGCAUCUACUUCAUGUGUGACUAUUCCUGGCCAAAGCAUUCUGCAAAUCCUCUUCGUGAUGCCGGUGUUUAUAACAUUAGGAAUCAGACAUUCAUGCCACUGAUGUCGGGGACUGCAGCGGUACCGCCACGUCAUGCUGUCCAGUGGCGUCCGACAUGGUUUUUCCCUCCUGAAGCUGUGUGACCAAGCCUCUUAAUCACUGAUCCUCAGAGUAAUUGUUGGAUAAUGUAUCUGAGAUGGAAGUUGGAAGGGCUUCGUCCUCACAGCGACAGGUGAGUUGUUGAUGGAUGGUAGAGAUUCGUAGUGUUAGUUUCUGUGUUGGUAGGCUGGUAGGUUCAGUUUGAUGAGUGAUGUGUUCUACCUGGUGGCUGUUGUUCUGUCUUGUGGUGGCUGAACUUAGUGAUCCUGUCCUAGUGUAGCGUUGUAACUGCUGUUGCCUGAACUUUUAAACGCGGGCCGCUGUAUCAUUAGUUUUAUUUUAAUUAAAUUGGAGGGUGUGUUCUCCUUUCAUCAAAAUUUUCUUGUAUGAUGUUAGAUUCUGUAUUAGUAUGAUGAUAGAGAUGUUUUGCAUUUUCAAGUAUUAUGGAUGAUUUGUUUUUGCUGGUAUUAUGGAUGAUUUUUAACAGGAUGCAUUGUAAUGCGCAAGUCUUUUGCUGUGAUAUAAGACUAAAGGCAUCUCUCACAGAAUCUUUAAAUUUUGUAACUCCUCAUGUUGGCAUCAUUUGGGGAGUCAAACCGUAGCUAACGGAAGCCCUAUAACUAUAACUCCUCAAAAUUUUGAGUUAACCCUAUGCCUUCUCUGCUCAAAUUUGAGCACGUCAUACCCAUUCUCCUCAAAUCUCCUCUCAUCGAGAAAAUGGCUCAACCGGCGGCAAGAUGCCAAACUGAACCAGCCCACGCCAGUAUAAACCCCGUCGGUGCCACACCAAACCCUAAAUCCUUCUUGGCCGCCCUAUUUCUCCCAAAUCACCGUCGCCACCACCCAAUUUUGUCAUCACUGUUCGAAUGGCCAUGGCUCGCUGCCUGCAGCGGGUAGAGCAGUGGGGUGUUGCUGUGCCGGAUGUCAUCCUCGGAUGAUGACUACAAUGACGAGCCAGAGGCGGUGCAGCUCGCAGUAGCCAUGGCCGAGGAAGCCGAUGAAGAGGAGGAGGGGGGCGAUGAAGAGGAGGAGGGGCAAGGUGAUGGAGGAGGAUGAGCAGUCGACGAAGGAAGCCGUGCACGAGGACGGCGCCUACGACCACACCUACCUCCCUUCAAGGGAGGAGGCGGAGCAGAUCAAUACAACAGUUUUCGGUGUGCACUUUGGUAGCUUUGUAGGCGCUCGAGUACCUAGUUCGGUGUGUUAGCCUUCCGUCGCUUUGUAUGUAUUGUGGUGCUUUAGGUCUAAUCUAGCUAGCCUUUGUUUUAGGUUUUUGCCCGGUUUUCCUCCGAAACCGAGCAGCCUCUUUGUUUUUUACACAUGUCUUUAUGCGAUGCAUUAUCUCUCCGAGGUCUUCUUGUAAUAUCCUUUUUUAAUCAAUGGAUUUGACAGUUCUCCUGUCAACAUUAUAAAAUGAUAAGGUUCAAAAAAAAAUAUAAAAUGAUAUCGAAGAUGGGCAUGUAAAUUUGUUCCCAAGAUUCCUAAAUGUUUGAAAGGCUUUUCUAGUUAUCGUUUUAAGAGCAACACUAGCAGACCCCUUAUACUCGAGAACUGUAAACGCGAUAUAAGGGUCAAGAAAGCAGGGACCCGACAAGGUAGUCCUUCGUCCCGAUGACGCCGCGGCCGCCCGGGCGCUCCUCCCCCGGCUCGAUCUUGACGGGGAGGAGGUCGCCAGAGUCCCUCUCCCUCUUCACGGGCAGCAGCCCCGCAUCGGAAGUGCUCCCCGCGCCCGAAGAGCUCCCCGCGUCGGAGUGCCUCGCAUGGCGGAGGUCGUACUCCUCCGUCUUGCGGCGGAGGAGGGAGCCAGCAACCCAUACCUGGUGUACCGCUUGACCGCGCGCUUGCGCGCCGCGUCGGAGGUGAAGCAAUCUUUGCGCUCCGGGUCAUCGCCGCCACCGCGCCGGCCAGAGCUCCACAUCGUCGCGGAUGGGGGAAGGGGGGCUGAUUUCUCACCGACGAUGAGAAACGGAGUGCGGAAUGGGUGAGACGCGGCGGUGGAGGAUAGGGCUUCGGCCUGUAUCGGACGGCAAACCUGUAAAUANNNNNNNNNNNNNNNNNNNNNNNNNNNNNNNNNNNNNNNNNNNNNNNNNNNNNNNNNNGGGCGAUUUGUGGGCCACCGUAAAAAAAAUUACGGGCUGGGCGGCUAUAUGGGCUCUGGUCUGACCCAAAAACCGGAUCAAACUCGUAUAGUCGCCGGAGUUUUACCAUUUGUGCGUUUAUACGGGUUUGCUAGAGUUGCUGUGAGCAGUGUCUCACUCUGUACUCUUCCCAUCGGGCUUCCCCGGUUCUCUCCCCUCCCAUGGUCAGGUUCCAAUCCCUACUUCUCUGGCGAUUUGAGACUUGCGUGUGACUAGCAGCCUCCCGCCCCACCUCAUCCGCUGGAGGCCGAAUCUGUUCCCCGCCAUCCACCGGCUCGCCGACGAGGCAACAAGACUCAGCAGUAAGCUGUAAGCCCUACCACCUUCGCACUCUCCAUCUUGUCAGGGGUUUCUUCCAGUAGAUCGGGCUGGGCGGACUGAUGCUUUGCCUGCCCACCAUUGUUUCUUCUAGUAGAUCUAUGCUUGGUGGGUUUUUUUACCUGGUGUGAACUAGAAAUGUUCAGGAAUGUUUGGCUCUGAUGCGGACCUCUCAAUAUCUCACACUCUCCCGUUCUUGAAGAAAAUAUAAAAUGGCACCUCUUUUGCAAAUCCCUAUUUGUUUUUCUACCAAAAUUGUUUCAGUUAAUGAGUAGAUCUAUGCCUGGUAGAAAUGUGUAUGAAUUUAUUAUACACUAAAGGAAGGAACACCUGUCGCUCUUGGUUCUGAUGCAACGCAUAUCACUCUUUCAGCGGACACCUCUUUCAGUGGCGGAGCCAGAAAAAUAGGAUGAGGAGGGCCGAGUAUUGUUCAACCUUGUUGGGGUGGGCCAAUCCAUCAAAAACACCCAUUUUAGGGGAAAAAAAUCACUGCUACUAUUCAUCUAUUAGGCCUAAAUCACAGAUGUUACUUUGGCUAACCAAAAUUUGUUUUCUUUUAGUCUAUGCUUGGUAAUAAGUUGAUGUAAAACAGCAAAUAUUCGUUCAGUACUACACUUUCCUGUGAUGCCCAGCCAUUGUUUCAGGCUUUCAGCUUGUACUUGAAUAAGAUGUCACUUCUUUUUCUCUACAUAAUUUUACUUAAUAGACCCGCCUUUUCUUCUAAAUAAAAUGAAAAUGGAGUAAGUGCAGUGACUGGGUCAUUGCCGCUGGGAUAUAGCACAUGAGACAUUGGGAACACUGCUCUCUCAUAGUUAGUAUACUAAUGAUGCUGAUUUGGUGUUUCUAGUCAGAGGAAGAGAAUCAAUGAAUCUUGAAAAAUGAGUGCCUAGUACACUAUCUAAUCUUCCUUGGAGUUAAUACUUAUGAAUUAUGAUGCCAACAAAAUGGUGCUUAUUGUACUGUUUCCUGCAAACUGUUGUUACCAAGUGCAAUGAGCAUAUAUGCAUAGAGCAAGGCUAAAGUGACUCGGCAAAUGUACUUUCACUAGUUUAUUUCUGCAUGAUGUAUUUAUGGUUCCCCCGCAUCUUCAUAUUUUGAUGAUACUUUGAACUUCUGCAGCUUUCUUUUCAAAUAGAGCUGACGAAAUUUAGCCUUAAAAUGGUACAUGAAGCAUAUGUAUUGCUAGUUGCAGUUUUAACUCUUUCUAAUUAUGAAUCAUAUGUCUUCUCUUGUAGAUUUGCAUGAUGGAGGCUGCGGAAUUUCGCCCUUGGUCAGAUCUUCCGCCAGAACUCCUGGGACUUGUUCUCAAGCGCCUCCCUUCCCUAGCUGACCGUGUUCGUUUGAGAGCUGUCUGCCACCCAUGGCGCUCUAAUAGCAGGUUGCAGACCCUUCCUCUCCCAUUCCCGUGGCUCACUCUCCCUGAUGGCACCCUCCUCGGCAUUCCAAGCGGUGAAAUUCACCACAUAUCUUUACCGGAAGGUGCGUGUUGCCAGGGCUCCAUUGACAACUUGCUAUUCCUCAUGCACAAUGAUGGUGUGUGCUACUUGAUGAACCCUUUCUCCAAGACCAGGUUGCAGCUUCGUAAGCUAGCAAAGGUAUGGAAGCGUGAGAUAUAUGAUCCCGAACCCCGAAUUAACCCAAUUUUCUACAACUUGGUGGUGCCCUUUCCACUUGACUCGUCACCCUGUUCCCUACUUGCUGCACUGAUCAUGGAUGAUGGUAACUGGGGUACACUUUGUAUUAGUCAAUCACCGAUUGUCACUGACUCAUUCAGAGAUGAUAAGCAUCCAGCAAAGCUCCUCUGUAGUGUUGCGUUCUUUGAUGGCAAGCUGUACGGGCUGGGGGGGUUUGACCAACUAUUCAUCUUUGAAUUAGACAAGGACCUUGGUAUUUCAUCCAUGGAGUGUAUAAUUGACUCUAUGGGUGAGUUAGGUGGAAUACCUCAAUCGUU